UACGUAGGGUGCAAGCGUUGUCCGGAAUUAUUGGGCGUAAAGAGCUCGUAGGCGGUUUGUCGCGUCGGCCGUGAAAACUUGGGGCUUAACCCCAAGCUUGCGGUCGAUACGGGCAGACUUGAGUUCGGCAGGGGAGACUGGAAUUCCUGGUGUAGCGGUGAAAUGCGCAGAUAUCAGGAGGAACACCGGUGGCGAAGGCGGGUCUCUGGGCCGAUACUGACGCUGAGGAGCGAAAGCGUGGGGAGCGAACAGG
rnacentral:rRNA from 1 species